rfam:Glycine soja cultivar W05 scaffold1774_46, whole genome shotgun sequence.
UUCUUAUUGGAUGAUGAUUGUCACGUGUCAUGUUCUGAUUGAAUGUCAACUCCAUGAAAAAUGAAAUACAGAACAUGUUCUGAUUGAAUAUCAACUUCAUGAAAAAUGAAAUACAGAACAUGACACGUGACAGUUAUCAUCC